AGCCCCCCGCCCGGCCAGCCGCCCUGUCCGGGAGGUGAGGGGCGCCUCUGCCAGGCCGCCCCUACUGGGAAGUGAGGAGCCCCUCUGCCCGGCCACCACCCCGUCUGGGAGGUGUGCCCAACAGCUCAUUGAGAACGGGCCAUGAUGACAAUGGUGGUUUUGUGGAAUAGAAAGCGGGGAAAGGUGGGGAAAAGAUUGAGAAAUCGGAUGGUUGCGGUGUCUGUGUAGAAAGAGGUAGACAUGGGAGACUUUUCAUUUUGUUCUGUACUAAGAAAAAUUCUUCUGCCUUGGGAUCCUGUUGAUCCUGUGACCUUACCCCCCAACCCUGUGCUCUCUGAAACAUGUGCUGUGUCCACUCAGGGUUAAAUGGAUUAAGGGCGGUGCAAGAUGUGCUUUGUUAAACAGAUGCUUGAAGGCAGCAUGCUCGUUAAGAGUCAUCACCACUCCCUAAUCUCAAGUACCCGGGGACACAAACACUGCGGAAGGCCGCAGGGUCCUCUGCCUAGGAAAACCAGAGACCUUUGUUCACUUGUUUAUCUGCUGACCUUCCCUCCACUAUUGUCCUAUGACCCUGCCAAAUCCCCCUCUGUGAGAAACACCCAAGAAUGAUCAAUAAAAAUAAAAAUAAAUAAAUAAAAAAUAAAAAAAAAAAGCUUGUAUCUCAACAUAUAAAAAUAUACUUUUUUAUAGAAUGGAACUAUAACAAUUAUGUCAUUUUAUAGGUUUUUCUUUUUUUACCGUAGUUGCCA
rnacentral:lncRNA from 1 species